rnacentral:rRNA from 1 species
AUGGACUCCGGCGAGUGCUCCAACUCCAACCCCUCCGCGUCUUCCCCGGGCGCCGCAGGCGUCUGGGCGAAGCUAGUGCCUGCGGAUUCGGCCUACCCGGAGGUGGCCGUCGCAGAGGGCGACGCCGUGGUCUGCUCCCUGGUCGCCCCCGCCGCAGGCGGGGAGGAGCUCGCAUGGUGCGAGAUUAGGCGCGGCGGCGACGCGUCGUCGGCGACGAUCCGGAACCUCAGCUCGGAUGCAAUUAUUGUUGAUGGAAGAGUUAUCCAACAAGAAUUGGUUGACAUUAAACCAGGGAGCAAGAUUGUCCCAGGACCCCAGGAAGAAGGUCAUUUAGUGUAUACCUUUGAUAUAACAGCUGCGAAGGACCAUGACAAAAACAAUGUCAAGAUUUUACUUGAUAUUGAGAAUGCAAAAUGCAGCAUAUGCUUGAAUUUGUGGCAUGAUGUUGUUACUGUUGCUCCCUGCUUCCACAACUUCUGCAAUGGCUGCUUCUCAGAGUGGUUGAGAAGGUCUUCGAGCAAGUCGCGUGAUAAAAGCCAGAGUGCUGCCUGUCCACAAUGUAGGACGCCAGUGCAAUCAGUUGGAAGGAAUCACUUCCUUCAUAAUAUUGAAGAGGCUAUACUACAAGCUUUUUCGUCACUACAGCGGUCUGAUGAUGAGAUUGCGUUGUUAGAGUCAUAUGCCUCAGUUAAAUCGAAUCUUGUUUUGGGAAAGCAGAAAAAUCAAUCAAGAAAGCGCCCUUUGCCACCUGCAAGUGAUGAAAGCAACGAUGCUGAAUUUCCAUGUCCUCAAUGUGGUACAGAAUUUGCUGGAUUUAGAUGCAGUCCCCGAGCAGCACACAUACAGUGUAAUGGAUGUGGAGGAAUGAUGCCAGCUAGGCCUAACACCAGUAUACAAAAAUGUUUGGGGUGUGAUGGAUCAUUUUGUGGAGCUUAUUGGUAUUCCCAAGGAGUGAAUUCAAGUCACUGUACUCUAAUCUGCAACCAGGAAACUUUCAGGAUGAUCUCUCAGCACCAUAUCUCUAGACUUCCGGACACGCUUCAUGGGGGAAAUCCAUAUGAAAAAGAUAUCACAGAAAGGUGCAUACAGAAAUCUGGCAAAACGUUGCAAGCUGUAAUCUCUGAGUGGAUAGCAAAGUUUGAUAAUAAGGAACUUGAUCGCUCAAGGUUGCAACUGAAUAAUGUUGAGGCAAUUACUUCCAGGACAUACCUUUGCAACCAUUGCUACAACAAGUUCGUUGAUUUUCUGCUGUAUUGGUUCCGCGUGUCAACGCCCAGAAAUCUUCUUCCAGCUGAUGCUGCUGACAGGGAUAGUUGCUGGUAUGGUUUCAUGUGCCGUACCCAGCACCAUCGACAGGACCACGCCAAGAAGCUGAACCAUGUAUGCCGUCCGACGAGAGGCAACCCCUAA